GUAACUGGGCACUUUCAACACAAGCAAACAAGACCACACAACUGUAUGAUGAUUAGCAAAAUGUAAAAUAUACACCUUUCACUUACUGCAAGUAUUUCACUUUGGCAUAAAUAAAGGUGACAGAGGAACAGGUCAUACUGGGAGCAGUAGGUCUGUGACUUGGAUGCAGCACAGUUACUGAUUUGAUGCCAUUAAGGCACAAAGCUUUGUAAUGAUUAAAAUGGUGAGUGAAUGUAAAUCCUGGAAGUGUUAUUUCUUUAUACUAAAACCUGCUACUUUAAGUUAUGUUUCAGAAAUUUCUUGAGCAUCUCGACUUGAAAAAUAACAGGAAUACCAUUUAGAAUAUUACAAGUGAGGACAGUCAGUCAAUGAUAAUCCAUGAGCUUAGGCUCAAGGAAAAAAAUUCUAUAUAUGUAAUAAAAGUUGAUUGUAAUGUGUGAUGUUGUAGACAUACAAUAAUCUGUUUUGUGCUAUCUUUUCCAUAAUGAAUUUGGUGACAACAUGUGGGUCAAAACUGGAAUGAGCAAAGAAUACCAACCAAAUUUAAGACCCAAAAACCAGAAAGAGCCACGACCAGCGGUGGAACACACGCAAGUUUGAAAAAUUUGUUCCAAAUGCACACUAAUAGUGAUUUUUUUUCUUUUUGUUGUUGUUGAUUGUAGAUGUACAUAUAUGUUCCUGUCUCCUGCUAAAAAUGAACCAUCCCAACUAGCAAAUUUUACUUUGUUAUUUAGAACUUUUUUAAUUGCAUUAAUUAAGAGCCACCUGCACUUUGAGAGGACUAAAACUGUUGAGAUUUUAUUAUUCAUUCAAUAACAAGAUUAAUAUGUGGGGUAUGUAAAAUGUGUGUACAUGUUUGUUUUGCUCAUACUUGUACAAAUGUUUCAUGUAACCUGACGAGGCGAACCCAAGAUUCAAGAAGAA